AUUGAACGCUGGCGGCAUGCUUUACACAUGCAAGUCGAGCGGCAGCGCGGGGGCAACCCUGGCGGCGAGCGGCGAACGGGUGAGUAAUGCAUCGGAACGUGUCCCGUAGUGGGGGAUAACCCGCCGAAAGGCGGGCUAAUACCGCAUAUGCUCUACGGAGGAAAGGGGGGAUCCGCAAGGACCUCUCGCUAUGGGAGCGGCCGAUGUCCGAUUAGCUAGUUGGUGGGGUAAUGGCUUACCAAGGCGACGAUCGGUAGCUGGUCUGAGAGGAUGAUCAGCCACACUGGGACUGAGACACGGCCCAGACUCCUACGGGAGGCAGCAGUGGGGAAUUUUGGACAAUGGGGGGCAACCCUGAUCCAGCCAUGCCGCGUGCGGGAAGAAGGCCU
rnacentral:rRNA from 1 species